UUUCAUGGAAGAACUAAGCAUAUAAAGAUUAAGUAUCAUUUCAUCAGAGAAGCUGAGAAAGAAGAAGAAGUGAAGCUGGUUUUGUUGUUCAGAAGUCUAGUAAGCUGAUAUUCUAACCAAGCCCUUGUCCAAAGCAAGGUUUGAAACAUCGAGGAAGACCCUUGGUGUUUCCAGUAAAAGUGCCAAGGAGGAGUGUUGAUAUAAAGUGACACUUUUGCUGUCACUUGUUCUUUAGGUUUUUGACUAAUGAUUAUUUUGUAAUGUACUUAAGUAUGGUGUUAGUAUGGCUGAUUUCAGUUCAGCAGAUAUGUAUGGGUUUAGUCAGUAAAGUAUGAGACUUAUCUUGUAAAACUUAAUUUCAUUUCAUGUACUGAUGCUUAUAUAUUUUGAAUUAAUGG
rnacentral:misc_RNA from 1 species